GAUGAACGCUGGCGGCGUGCCUAAUACAUGCAAGUCGAGCGAACAGACGAGGAGCUUGCUCCUCUGACGUUAGCGGCGGACGGGUGAGUAACACGUGGAUAACCUACCUAUAAGACUGGGAUAACUUCGGGAAACCGGAGCUAAUACCGGAUAAUAUAUUGAACAGCAUGGUUCACUAGUGAAAGACGGUUUUGCUGUCACUUAUAGAUGGAUCCGCGCCGGAUUAGCUAGUUGGUAAGGUAACGGCUUACCAAGGCAACGAUGCGUAGCCGAUCUGAGAGGGUGAUCGGCCACACUGGAACUGAGACACGGUCCAGACUCCUACGGGAGGCAGCAGUAGGGAAUCUUCCGCAAUGGGCGAAAGCCUGACGGAGCAACGCCGCGUGAGUGAUGAAGGUCUUCGGAUCGUAAAACUCUGUUAUUAGGGAAGAACAAAUGUGUAAGUAACUAUGCACGUCUUGACGGUACCUAAUCAGAAAGCCACGGCUAACUACGUG
rnacentral:rRNA from 1 species